AACGAACGCUGGCGGCAGGCCUAACACAUGCAAGUCGAGCGCCCCUUUCGGGGGGAGCGGCGGACGGGUGAGUAACGCGUGGGAACGUACCCUUUGCUACGGAAUAGCCUCGGGAAACUGGGAGUAAUACCGUAUGUGCCCUUCGGGGGAAAGAUUUAUCGGCAAAGGAUCGGCCCGCGUUGGAUUAGGUAGUUGGUGGGGUAAUGGCCUACCAAGCCGACGAUCCAUAGCUGGUUUGAGAGGAUGACCAGCCACACUGGGACUGAGACACGGCCCAGACUCCUACGGGAGGCAGCAGUGAGGAAUUUUCCACAAUGGGCGAAAGCCUGAUGGAGCGACGCCGCGUGAAGGAUGAAGGUUUUCGGACUGUAAACUUCUUUUAUAUGGGAAGAUUAUGACCGUACCAUAUGAAUAAGCACCGGCUAACUACGUGCCAGCAGCCGCCGUAAUAC
rnacentral:rRNA from 1 species